rnacentral:lncRNA from 1 species
AGCAACAUAGGAUACUUUGGGGAGGGAAAGGAAAAGAGGCAGCCUCCCAGAAAUGCCCGAAAGCUCAGAAAAAUAAAGCAUAAAGCUGUGCCAUUCGGAAGAAGCAAGACAGUCUUUCCUCACAGCUACGAUGCUGCACCGCUUCCGACAGAACCUGCUUUUCCCUCCAUUUACCUGGGCGACUGCUGCUCUUUCUGCUGCUGCUGGGGCUGCUGCAGUCUUGCUGCCUGCGCUUCACCCUGGCUUGGCUGACUCGAAACUCUUUCGUCUGCACAUUGCUAAGGAAGAAGAGCGAUGGAGCCACGGAUAUUUUUUUUAUUGGUUCUGGAAGCCAAGGGUUGCAAUAUGUGAUGAUUUCGGGGUUUUCUGUGGCGGGGUGGAGGGAGGAGAAAGGAAGGGUAUUAAUCUAGGAUAGGGUGGGUGAAAGCUUAAAGAAAUAUUAUGUAAAGUAAUCCAGUGCUUGACAAGGGCAUCAGCAACAAGAAUCCAGCCUCUGCUGCUCCAGAGGAUUAAUAUGGGGAAGUCACAGUGCUGCAGUCGGGUUUCACCUCAGUGCUGUACUGGAGAUGGAUAAAUAAGGUAUUGGUUGCAUCUGCCUGUUAAGGCAAAGCCAAGGGAGAAGGAGAGAGCGAGUGAAUGCAAAUGCAAAGGAAGAAGAAACGCUCUGUGCCGUUUGUCUGAUUCUGCGGAUUCUCACUGCAGAGAGGAUGGCUUGAUUAACAAAGCAAUGUAUGGACCGAGGGACUGUAAAUUGUAGCUUGAGCAUUCCUGGUGCUGCCAGGGAGUGAACUGAUGAGUUAGGUAGCUGCAGGAAUAUCCCCAGGGUAAACAGCAGCCUCUCACUCUGUGUCUAUAUUUGUGUACGUAUGUGCUUUUGUGUGUGUGUGUGUGAACACGUACAGAAAUGAAAGAAAGACAUUUCUGACCAAUUUACAGGGGACGUUUGUCAGUUUGCUGGGUCAGACUUGAUUACAGCUUGUAUUUUCAGCUCUAGCUCUACACCCAUUUCCUGACUGAGGUGGCACUUUGUGAAAACAGAUGGUAGGCAGUAUUCUUUUAAGAAUUGUGAAAGCAGAUCCUUUCCGCUUAACACCUUGAAGCACUGAACCUUCUGCACUGUGCUGAGAGAAACCGUGGGGUUUCAUUUUCUCCAUCUUAAAAUCUCUAUAAACACAGCUGUAUUCAGUAUGGUGAAAAAUUCUAUACUGUAAAUAGAAAUGUGAUCAAUCUAAUCAAAAUAAAUGCAUCCCAGAUGACUUCUAGACCAGCUGGCUACCACAGUCAUCAGAUGGCUAAAUCCUCAACUGAGCAUUUGUAUUCAGUGUUAUACUUGCAUCUUUUUAUUUUUCUCUUUUUUUUUUUCUUAGAUUUUCAAAAUCAGCCUCUAAUUUAAAAGGAUUCUUCAUAUAUUUAGAAAAGGCAAUGCUUUCUGUGAAAUGUACCUGGGUGUAUUUUUUACUUUGGAAUCUGCUUGGGGCGAUUUUAGAGUAGGUAGACUUGUCACAGUACAGGCAUAUUUCAUUUGGUAGGUAGCUCAGCCUGGCCAUAUCUGAACAAUGCAGAAACAGGGAAAACAACCACUGCAUACAGCUAGCAGGGCUUGGCAUGGAUUUUAGCAGCUGCCUAUCAAGAAAGACAAGUUUUUUUUCUUUCCGUUUUUCCCUUUUAUACAAAGCCAUAGACCAUAAUGUCAUACUAAAAUGUGUAUGAGGGGAUUUCCCAAUAGUCAUGGUGAGCUAGCCUGCAGGACUCCCGUCUAGUCCUUCCACUAUUUUUUCCCCAGCUUACAAAGGCAGCCCUGUAUGUUGAAUUGUAUUUAGCCAGCUGUUGGAUAGCAUUCUUGUGCUGGGGGCUAAGGAGUCUUAUUACUCCCAAACUGUAGUUUUCUGUUUGCUUAAAGAAAAUUGGCAAUACAGCAGGCUCUGCAAAUAAGUUUAUGCCACUCCUAUACCUUUCUGAAUCUGUUGUGUGCUUCUAAGUCAAGCAGUUUAAAGCAAGCAAGGAGGGAGGAGGAGAGACUCUGAACUUGCAGCUUCAAAGCUACAGAGACAAGCAAAAUGUCAGCAGCUUGUAAUUAGGAGCCCACGGUUACGUCAGUGACUGUAUCUCUCCAGGAAUUGCUAUGAGAUGUGUGCCACAAAGCAAAGGAAGACUCUCAUAACCUGGUUAACAAGCCUGGCUCAAACAAGAAAGAGCAAAAUGGAUUAAUGAAUCUGCUGUGUUCCUAAUUCAGAUGUGGAUGGAUUACACGCACAAGGUUUGCUGAAUUCUGCAGCAGCGAAGACUGAAUUAUAGCAUGCAUUCACCAAAAGUGCAAAUCCUUCAGGAAAAAAAUGCAGAUGAGCAGUCUAUCCUUGAAAAUUUCUUUCCUAGCUCUGUCCUGUACAGGCAGCUGCAUGACAUGGAGGCACGCUCUGAAGGAAGAGACUGGCGAGCUGCACAAAGAUGUUUAAAAGGAAGGUGCAAUUAGACACAAAGCAAGCCUGCUGAAAUUCUGUUCUGGCAUUACAGAUUUGAUACUGAAAUACCACCACAGAGGAGACCGGCUGGGCUCUGGUGUGGUUUAUAUUAAGGCUUCUCGGUUAAGAGCGAGGGGGAAGGGACAGGGCUUCCUGCAGCAUCUUGCAGCCAUACAGAAGUCCCCAGGGCUGUGGGAAGCAGGAGGGAUGGGUGUGCUCUUAAAGACACAUGCCCAGAUCCUGCCAAGGGGCUUUCUGACCUCUGCAAUUAUUUUUAGGUCCAUGAAGGCAACUCGGCAGUGCUUUAGCAGUGAGAUUGCAGGGGGUGUUUAAUCUGCUGCGACUGGCCUUUCUCUGUGUCAUGGCUGGGAAAGGCUUAUAGAGCUUUUAUCAAUACCCCUCCACCCCUCCACCACAUCCAGCACGCAUGUCUGUCGCUGUUCCUAAAGACCAGUUACUGGAGUUCUGGUGUGUUUUCCUGCUCCCAGCAGAAGUCACUUGCAGUUCAGCUCUGUUGUAGUUGCUUUUUAAUUUACCAGAUAGGUAGAUUGUAUUUUACAAACAGUGGGGGUGGGUGGUUUUUGGUUUGGUUUUGGUUUGUUUUGGUUUUUUUGGUUUUUUUUGGACUGUGAACACAAAUUUGUAGGAUGAGGUGACUCUGUAUAUUAAACCAAUAGCUCUUUGAAUUGUGUGUAGUAUAAUCUAAAUAUACUUACUUUAAUUAAUAGAAGGUUACAAAAGCUGGCAUUGUCUGGGGCUGUUUAAUUUACAUCUUAGGUUUAGUCAAUGAGCACAACCUGCCUGAUUAGAACAGUGUAUUCUGCACAGCCAACAGGGUGGAAGGCAUUAUUUUGUUUGUGUUAGUUCAAACAGCUGGUCAUUAAUGCAGGCCCCAUCUCCAGAGUGAAGUGCUAGUGGACAUGAAUGGCUGCCUGAUUAAUGCUGCCCCUCGACGGGUCCUUCAUCCAGCAGCAAUGCUCGCAGCAGAAUAAUGCAGCGGGAUUUGAUUGCGCUCUAACAGGGUAGUAUGUCAUUGUGUCACCAAGCGAUCGAGGUUAUUAUGGGGUAGGGCAGACAGACGGGACAGUGGGGUUACUAGACCGUGGCAUUUUUAGAAAUGCAGGGCUGACCUACUUAGAGUUAUUCUUGCUGGCUGGCAGCUGCCUGGUGCGGGGCUCCCCCGGAUAGGCUGCGGCUGUUGCUAGGGGGAAUUAGCAUGAAUUUUUCCACAUACAGACUCAGUGAUUGAAUGAUAAAAGCUGACUGGAAUUAAAGAGAUUCGGUUCAGUAUUAUGCAGAUUUAUCUCCCUCAUUUUUUUUUCUCUCUGUCAAAUGCAUAAAAAGGAGCAGAAAACAGUUUGUUUCCAUUUAUUUUUGACCUAUUUUUUUUUUUUCCAGAGGAGGGCAGAAGUGUUGUGAGGUGAUAAUUUAAUAUUUAGGCCGUUGAAAUGAUAUGAUAGUGAGCAUGCAUCUUUAAUGUAUGGAAGAUUAAAAUGCUGCCUCUCUGGAAGGGAAUGAAAUGAAUAUAUUUUGUGUUCUCGUCAAGCUGCCACCUCUUUUUAUUUCAAGCCAUGUCAGAUUCUUUUAUCUGGAAAGGGGAAACAUAUACCAUGUUUUAUUGCAUAGCAUUACUCUUAGCUAUUUUUAGCUAUCUGUCCUUCAAAAAAUUAGUCUUAUUUAUACUAGUGGAUGAAAUUAAUCCCCAGGCUAUGCCUUAUGUAUGUGGAGACAGAUGCCCAGGGUAGCUGCAGUGUUGUGUGUCAUGUUCAUCUGAAAAGGUGUUUACACACUGCAGGCUUAUCAGCACUGCAUACCUAGCAGAGUGCAGAUGCCUGACAUGUAAUCAGAUCAAUUAGAGAACUCUCCUGGAUUAUGGAGUAUUUUUCAGGCCAUGGUUUGAAGUUGGAAUCUCUAGAUGGCCUUCUUUUAUUUAUCUACAUCUGCCUAAAACAGUGUUAUCUUUUCAGAGAACACUGUGCUCCCUUAGGAGGCAAAUAAUAACAAUACUUAGUGAAGAAUCCUUUGAUGUAAUCAUGAAUAUUUCCUUUGUUAUUAUCACUAGUUAUAGAAGAACUUUGUUUAAACCGCUAUUUCCCCUUGUGUGAUCUUUUGCCAUUCAAAGAAAUACCAAUUUAGUACUUAUAAUUUUAAGUUAAAUAUUCAUGGCAAUGCAUCAUGACAUCACACUCAAAGAAGUGGGAAUUUUCAAAAUAUGAGACAUUGGGGGAUGGGAGAGAAGGACCCACAUGCCUUUGGAAAUGCAAAAUAAAAAAUGGGACUUAGUGCUGAAAAGUAGUGAACUAAUUUUUGUCUGAAACAGUUUAAUUUCAAAUAUUUGGAUGGAUGAGGUACCUUUUAGAGGUUUGUGAACAACGUGCAUAUCUGAGGUACCUUUUAGAGGAGUGUGAGCUGCCUGUGCAUCUCUCUGGACAACUAGCUGCUUCCUUGGACCUAGAGCUGUCCUGCCUUGGCCCCUGGAAUUUAUUGGGAAGAUAUUAAAAAAAUGGAGACAUGAAUUUGAAUACAUUUUGUGGCUGAGGCAAAGCAUUCAGUUCCUACAGAGUUGAAUUUCCUAUGUUUUUUUUUUCCUGGCAUUGAUUCAUUACUGAAACCUGCACCACUUCCUUCUCUGCUUCUUCCUGACAGUCUCAUGGAGUGACAUAAUUUUAGAGAAGUGAAAGUGAGGAGUGGCACAGUUUGAUGCCCAGUAAUUGUGUUUGCCUUGUCUGUCCUCGGAGGUUACUCCAGAAAGUUGUGGUCCCACUUCCCUCAGCAAUAUUGUCUUGAUCAAAAUCUGAUGUCCUGCUCCACUUCUGUAGGAUGCUGCAGGAUGCCAGGCAACAGCCCUUGUAGACAGCUUUUGUCUACAGUUGUGUCUUGAGGUUUUUGCCCUUGUUGGUUGUAGCCAGUUGUAGUUUCAUCCAGUUCACCUGCGAUAUUAGCUGACUUGGGCUUCAGCAAAUCAAAAUAAACAUUCAAUACUGUACUAAUGCAGUACCUCAUUUUCUAGAAGAAAGAAUUUGAGUGUUUGCUAUAUUUGUGCAAAAAAAGAGGGAGUUCAAAGAAAAGCAACAAACAAGAUACAGCAUAUACUCUUGGAAAAGAGCUGCAUCCUUGCUGUUUAUCUGGAUUUCAACACACUGAUUGUUUAUAACAAACAUCAAAUCAGAAAGUUUAACAAACCAUCAAGUGACAUAUUAAAUAUAAAAAAUAUAAUGCGCUAGGAAUUGUAUUAAAUGUAAAGUUGCCCUGCUGGAAAUCUCUUCAAUGAAAAUUUUUUCCAAACAAUUGAGUAUGUGAAUGAUGUGAUCAUAAUACUUUGGAUAAUUAUGAGUAGCAGAAAUACAGAGUUAAUGGCACAAACUAAAAAUCUGAGCUCUGUGUGUGUGUAUAUACUGCAUAGGAAGCAGGAUGCCAAAGGUGUUUGAAAUACAUACCCACGUUGAAAAUGUUGUCAAUUGCGCACAGUCUUUCGAAAAAUCCAUAUUAAUCACUUUCUGAUGAUCUUCUCUGAGGUUUCUAUUCUUGCUACAACUUACACCUCCUACCUAGAAGUUUCUUACCUACAAAAGAUUGUGUUAUAUUUUUCAACAUUCUUGUACUGUGACCUCUCCUGUGAGAUAUGAAAGAUCUAUUAUGCUGAGUUUCAUGUUCUUGGGUGGCUGAGUGAAUGCUGAUUUACUGGGAGGGUAUGUAGGCAAUAAUUUUUUUUCCCAUCAAAAUACCCAGAAUCCUGCCUGCAUUUGCAGCUGUGAGAUGGCUGUACUGAUUGGUGCAUUCCUGACAUCAAAGUCUUGGCCAGUCAUGGAUUUGCUGAGCAUUUCGUGAUUUUAUGGCAACUUUCUGUUUUUCUAAAAAUGAUCAGAGGAUGCAGGAUAUAGAGCAACUCAUCUAGAUUCCCAUGCUGUAAGGAGUGAGUUGACUCCCAGUCUUCACCUCCUGCAGAGCCAUACAGAUCAGUUCUUCUGCAGCAAAUGUGUUUCAGUCCCAAUUUCAAACCAAAAGUACAAGGAAUAGUCUCAUAUUUCUUAAAAGAGUGGCGGUUAGCACAUUCCUUUUAUUGCAAUGCAGUAGGGAAUACAAAUGUUUAACAAAAUAAAAUCCUCAUAAGAUUUUUUUUCUGUGAUCCAUUAACAGGAAACAAAUUCUGUGACAAAUGCUCCUGUAACAGCCAGAAGCAGCAUUAUUGUGGCUCCCACACUCCUGCUCUUCCUGUACCCAUGCAUGUAUGCGCCUGUGCAUUCAGAAUUGCUGCAUACAUGUAGUGUGUGGCUGUGUAUACAAGACACAAGCAUAACUUACACAAGCACAGCACUGAAGCAUAGAGCAUGUAAUCACAGUUGUCUCAGUGUAGCACCAAAGCCUGUGCCUCUAGAUAUAUGAUGCUGUUUUAUCCAUGAUGAAAAGUGGCUUGAGAUGAAAUGUAAGUCAUUCUGGUGUGUAGCACCAGCCAUUGUGUUAAUGCUAUCAUCCCAUUCAGCACCAGCAAAGACAAAAAAAAAAAAAAAAAAAAAAAAAAGAAAAAGAAAAAGAAAAUCAUGUUUAUGUGCAAUAGAAUGGUAGCAAAAAGGGUAGUGUGGUGAAAAAUUGGGUGUACCUAGAUAGCUGUGUUUCAUAACUACUUGUGCCUUUUGUAGAUAUGCAUAAUGAAAUGCAUGAUGGGCUGUUUAAGACAGAGAGAGAUAUUUUAAAUUAUUGCUAAUACUUCCCUCCUGCUCUUAGGCCACACCUACUUCAAAAGUGAAUCCAGACUCAGAUCUUGACAGAGAUCGUGACCCUGUUGAAACCAAUGACUGUUUUGUUGUAGAAUUCAGUUGGGCCAGGCUUUCAUCUGUUGAAUUUUCCCCUGAACAUGUCUUUUCUCUUCUCUCUUUCUCCAAAGUGUGGUGUUUCUGUUUCUACAUUUCCCACCCUCUGUUCCUCUGAAAAUUCUUUGAAAGGUUACAUUUUUGUUGAGCAGUUUACUAUAAAUUUGCUCUUGAGUAGGAGAAAAUGUGGGGAAAUAUCUCUUCCCUCCUGAGCUAGUAAAGUAGUAUUGCAGUGAGUCUCAAUAAUUAUGUUUUUAUGAAUAGUCCUGAUUUCAUCAUAAGAUGUCUUUAGUUUUUAAUGAAAGGGAACAGGCAGUGAACAAAACAAAUAUGCCAAGGAGAACCUGGUCUCUUAACAGGCUGCAGAAACUCGGGUAAUGAGAUGGCUGGUGUCUUGACCUACAAAGCUAGGGCUCUUAGAAAUGUCGAGGGAGGCAGAACGCAACAAUUUCAAACAAGAAAU